UCCGUAGGUGAACCUGUAAGUGAUACUCAUCUCCCGCUUAUGUCAUCUCUUCUUCAUACUAACAUACUCUCUAGGCGGAGGGAUCAUUAUAGAGUUAAAGGUAGCUUAGGCUGCCAAAACUCCCAUCCCAUGUUUGUUAUUUUAUUGUUCUUCCGACAUUGCUCUGCUUCGGCCCGUACUUAACAGAGCUUAGUGUUGCGCAUAAUACAGUACAACUUGACUUGUGGCAAAAUACAUCAUAUGAUGUUCAUACCUGCAAGACU
rnacentral:rRNA from 1 species